UACGUAGGGUGCAAGCGUUAAUCGGAAUUACUGGGCGUAAAGGGCGCGUAGGCGGCCUUCUAAGUCGAACGUGAAAUCCCCGGGCUCAACCCGGGAACUGCGUCCGAUACUGGAAGGCUUGAAUUCGGGAGAGGGAUGUGGAAUUCCUGGUGUAGCGGUGGAAUGCGCAGAUAUCAGGAGGAACACCAAUAGCGAAGGCAGCUCGCUGGGACGUUACUGACACUGAGGCGCGAAAGCGUGGGGAGCGAACAGG
rnacentral:rRNA from 1 species